rnacentral:rRNA from 1 species
CGGAUCUCUUAAAGACUGUUCUCAGUUCGGACUGCAGUCUGCAACUCGACUGCACGAAGCUGGAAUCGCUAGUAAUCGCGGAUCAGCACGCCGCGGUGAAUACGUUCCCGGGCCUUGUACACACCGCCCGUCACACCAUGGAAGUCUGCAAUGCCCGAAGCCGGUGGCCUAACCACUUAUGUGGAAGGAGCCGUCUAAGGCAGGGCAGAUGACUGGGGUGAAGUCGUAACAAGGUAUC